UACAGAGGUCUCAACCGUUGUUCGGAUUCAUUGGGCGUAAAGGGUGCGUAGGCUGCGGAGUAAGUCAGGUGUGAAAUCUCGGGGCUCAACCCCGAAACUGCACUUGAUACUGCUUCGCUCGAGUACUGGAGAGGAGACUGGAAUUUACGGUGUAGCAGUGAAAUGCGUAGAUAUCGUAAGGAAGACCAGUGGCGAAGGCGAGUCUCUGGACAGUUACUGACGCUGAGGCACGAAGGCCAGGGGAGCAAACGGG
rnacentral:rRNA from 1 species